GUUGAACGCUGGCGGCAUGCCUUACACAUGCAAGUCGAACGGCAGCACGGGUGCUUGCACCUGGUGGCGAGUGGCGAACGGGUGAGUAAUACAUCGGAACGUACCUUAUCGUGGGGGAUAACGCAGCGAAAGUUGCGCUAAUACCGCAUACGCCCCGAGGGGGAAAGCGGGGGACCGUAAGGCCUCGCGCGAUUAGAGCGGCCGAUGUCUGAUUAGCUUGGUGGUGAGGUAAAAGCUCACCAAGGCGAUGAUCAGUAGCUGGUCUGAGAGGACGAUCAGCCACACUGGGACUGAGACACGGCCCAGACUCCUACGGGAGGCAGCAGUGGGGAAUUUUGGACAAUGGGGGCAACCCUGAUCCAGCAAUGCCGCGUGAGUGAAGAAGGCCUUCGGGUUGUAAAGCUCUUUUGUCAGGGAAGAAACAGCAGCUCUAACACAGUCUGCGAAUGACGGUACCUGAAGAAUAAGCACCGGCUAACUACGUGCCAGCAGCCGCAGUAA
rnacentral:rRNA from 1 species